rnacentral:rRNA from 1 species
UUGAGGGGUUAAGGCUCCCAGUAGACGACUGGGUUGAUAGGCCGGAUGUGGAAGCCCUGUAAAGGGUGGAGCUGACCGGUACUAAUAGGCCGAGGGCUUGUCCUCAGUUG